rnacentral:rRNA from 1 species
GACAGAGGGUGCGAACGUUGCUCGGAAUUACUGGGCGUAAAGCGCGUGUAGGCGGACUAGUAAGUCGAACGUGAAAUCCCCAGGCUCAACCUGGGAACUGCGUCCGAUACUGGCAGGCUUGAAUCCGGGAGAGGGAUGUGGAAUUCCAGGUGUAGCGGUGAAAUGCGUAGAUAUCUGGAGGAACACCGGUGGCGAAGGCGGCAUCCUGGACCGGUAUUGACGCUGAGGCGCGAAAGCUAGGGGAGCAAACGGG